GGUCUUCACGUGCUGUCUCCACUGGUCCAUCUCGACCACGACCGCGGCCACACCCAAGGCCUCUAGCAGGUGGCACUAGUGGUCGUCUUCCACGUCCGAUAGCACGGGUUCUCUCCAUCUGCGAGAGAAUAGAAUAAGAAGUUUCAGUUCUCAAAUGAACAAAGCCACACGAUAAGAAUUCCAAGAAAGUGAAGUGUUUCCAUAAGUUCUAUAGCCCCUCGAGGAUAUGAUACGGACGUCUACGUACCGAUCCGUGUGACUCUACUAAACUGGCUCAUAAUUCGUGAGGCCUAGCAACCUAGGCUCUGAUACCAACUUGUCACGACCCUAACCCCGAUCGUGAUGGCGCCUGGCCACAAGGAUAGGCAAGCCCAACCAAACCAAUUCCAAAGAACGGCCUUCCAGCCCAAAAAGAGAUACAACUUUAGGGUAAAACAUCAAUUUUUUUGAAAUAUAAACUCCCAACCAGGGAUAAGCAAUACGGUGGAAAACACAUAUGAGCCAACAUCACUCCCUAAACCUUGGGGUCAAGAGUACAGAGCCUCUAACAAUACCGAAUACAAGUCUGAAAGGAAAUGAUACAAAUGUUUGACAAAACUAUAAAGGAAACAGACUGAAUGAGACAGAGUACGCGGUCCUGCUGACGCUGGCCAGCUACCUCAAUACUCUGAUACAUCGGAUAGCAACAGCAACAGCACUAGAUCUCUGGAGCUCCUGGAUCUGCACACAAGGUUCAGGAAGUAUAGGGUGAGUCUAUCAACCCAGUGAGUAAUAAGCAUGUAAAAAAACCCCGAAGAUAAGAAAACACAAAAAUAACACAAAAUGAAGCUAUCUAGCAGUUCUAUACAAUACAAGCCUCAGAGAUAUACAGAUAAAGCAACAGUACAUAAAUGCAUGAGAUGCGAUGAAAUGCAUAAACACUACGAAACGUGCAUCCCGAUCAUUUGGGUACCCGCGCUCACUGUGGGGGUUCAGACUCCGGAGGGGCUCCUACAGCCCAAGCACCAUAUCAUACAGUGCCAAUAGUUACCACUGUUUCCAUUUUAAUACACUGUGCCAAUAGUUACCACCGUUUCUAAGAAAUAAUAUACAGUCCAGAAAAUAGUAGAAUCAUGAUCGUCAGCCCGAAAUAUCAUUAAAGAAUUAUUUGAGUUUUUAUAACAUAGAAAUACGGCUGAGUUGGCAAAAAUAGUGCUUGAAACCCAGGACUGGAUUCAAUGAUAUGCAAAUCAUGCUAACUCUGAUAUAUCAAUCCCUCAAGGAUUCUACAAGUCGGCACAUGGCAUCAAGCCCUGAUAUCAUCAAUAUAGUAUGCGAAACAAUCGCCAACAUAACACAAUUUAUCCCUCGGAUUGGACCGAGUCACAAUUUUCAACAUAUACGACCCCGCACUAUCCAUGGAGUGCACGUCUAGACUCAUAAUAGCGUCACAAUGUGAUAUAAUGGGGUCUCAGGUCAUCAUCUACACCCAUUACUCACCUCAAGCCGGCCGCAAACUAGCUCGUAAUGCCUUUCCCUCGAGAAUCAACCUUCGCAGAAGUCAAAUCUGAACAAAACCAAUAGGAAUACGUCACAAUAGGCUAAUGGGACAUAACCUAAUCGAAAUAACUCAAAAUAAACCCAAAAAUACCCAGGGCCCACUUCUCAAAAAAUUACGAAAUUCAAUUUUCAGAAUCAUCGUUUCGCCACGAGUCCAUACACAUCAAAUUUACGAGAAUCAGAGUCCAUUUGACCCCUCAAAUCAACACUUUAAGCUCACUUGGGUUUCAAGCCCUAACCCCCAUUUUUGAAAUUAAAAAACUUGAAUUCUUUGUGUUUAAUCCGUGAUUUUACACUAUAAUGACAUAAUUUAGGUCCUUGAGUUCAUACCUAAAGAAUUCCCUCAAAAAUCUCUCCAACAAUCGCCCACAAUCGCCUUCAAUGCUUUAACACUACAAUGAUAUACUUUAGGUCGAAGAGUUCAUACCUGAUGAAUUCCGCCAAAAAUCUCUCCAGAAAUCGCCCACAAUUGCCUUAGCCCGAGGUCCACUGUUAUUCCCUUUUAAAAUUUUAAACCUAUUGUUUCGUUAAACCAGAUCGAUUUCCGCUCGAGCGAUCCUUUUUCCGCUUCAGCAACUCUCGCUUCCGCGCCUAUUUGACCGCUUCCGCGGUUUAACUUAAUUAUGCAGCGACCGCUUCUGCGGUCCUUGACCGCCUCCGCGACCAUCGCUCCUGCGGUCGCUUGUCCGCUUCUGCAGCCCUAGACAAAUUGCCCUUGGCCUCUUCUACGACCCAUCUUCUGCUUCAGCGGUCCAUUGUUCGCAAACGCGAACAUACCUGAAGAACGACUCCCAAAUCUGAAACAAACUCCAAAAAUUCUCGUUUAACCAUCCGGAAUCACUCUGAGGCCCCCGGGGUCCAAACCACAAACACAAAUAUGACCAAACACCUCAUUCAAACUUUCUUGAGCCUUAACAUUAACGCCAAAAUCAUCACUUUCCUUAAAUCAAAGCCUAAGAUAACUUAGAGUUUUCCAAAAUCACAUUCGAUGCCGAAACCACCAAACGAGGUUCGAAUGACCUGAAAUUUUGCACACAUAUCCAAAUUCACCUAACAAGAUACUACAACUCUUGUAAUUCCAUUCCGAACCUCGAAUAAAAUUCCCACCUAUCAAUCGGAAUUCGCCGAAAUUCAACUUCGCCAAUUCAAGCCUAAUUCUACACCGGACCUCAAAAUUCAAUUUCGUUUUCUCUCCCAAGUCACAAAUCAUCCCCGAAACUAGCGGAAUCAUCGAAAAUUCGUUCCGGGCCCUCUAAAUCUCAAGUCCAUGUCCGGUUGACUUUCCAACUUAAGAUUUCUUUAAAGAGACUAUUUGUCUCAUUUCUUACCAAAUUCAACCUAACACACUUCAAACUCACCAAACACAUAUAUCAACACACGGAAAAGCAUAAUACGGGGAUAACGGAGCUGAAUAAAGACGACGGAUCGGAUCGUCACAAGACAUGGACAAGGCUUCCUCCCUUUAUUUCAAGAACGCCAAGUUCAAGCGAAAUAGAGAAAAGAAUACAUGCCAACUAAUCAAAUUCCAGAGAAUAAAUGAAGUGCUAAUAUAACUUCAAAUUAACUGAACAUCAUAAUGUCACAUAAGACAACUUCAUAUUCCCCAAUGAAAUGAUAUAAUAAAAAAAUAUUAUUUUCAUUAAGAAAGUCCUAAGAAUCUUUCGUGCAACAUAUCUACUUCACAUGAAAAUAACAAAAAUCAGGAAUCGAGCGGAUCUUCAAGUUUUAAGCAAGAACUCAAUUGUCUAAUCAUUUACUAAAAAUAAUAAUACAGUGAAUCUUCAAAACUAACCUGGCUGAACAAGAAAACUUAAAUAAAUUGACUAAAAGCUUAGACAAACUCGGUCGAAGCUCAGCAAAAAUUUCAGCAAUCAACAGCAGCAAAUCCCACUUCUCAAACUUGUUCGAAUUUAAAUUUCCAGAAAAAAGUUGAGCAAAAGAGUAGAAUCUUAAGCUAGCUUGGUUUCAAGGCUCUUCCGUGGCUGAUUUUCCAGCAGUAACACAACCGUUAUAGGGCUGGUUUAAGGUCAGUUUUGAGCUUAAUUUAAGGGUUGUUCGAGCUAUAUUUUGGAGCUUCAUUUGAGCUGCUUUUAGCAGGAUUUUAGAGUUGAUUUGAUGGUGUUUUAACACUGAUUUUGGGUCAAUUUUGAACUCGUUUUUUGGAGAUGUUCGGAGGUCAUUCUUUGGGUGAAUCCGGGCUCAUUUUUGGGUUGGUUUUGUGGUGGGAGAGAGCUGGUUCUAAUGGGGGUUUAUGGUGGUCUUUGGGUGAAAUUUACAUGGUAAUUUGUAAUGUUUUAAUGGUUGAUCGUCGAAGUGGGUGUUAAUGGAGGUUUUCAAGUAGGUUUCAUUGAGGAAAGAUGGUGAUUUUCAUGGCUUUUUGUGUUGUGAAGAUGAUGACGGGUUGAAGAGAAAGAAGAGAUGAUGCUCCAUUAUCCUCUUCAAGGACAAAAAAAGGUGAAAUUAUCGUCUAGGUCUCCUUUCUAACGGGUAGGGUCUGUUAGGUAUAUAGAAUUAGG
rnacentral:lncRNA from 1 species